AGCAGCCGCGGUAAUUCCAGCUCCAAUAGCGUAUAUUAAAGUUGUUGCAGUUAAAAGCUCGUAGUUGAAUUUCGGGAUUGACCCAUCGGUCGUGCCUUAAGGGGUAUGAACUGGUGUAGUCAAUUUCUCACCUUCUGGAGAACCGUGAUGUCCUUAAUUGGGUGCCACGAGGAACCAGGACCUUUACUUUGAAAAAAAUUAGAGUGUUUAAAGCAGGCAUUUUUGCUUGAAUACAUUAGCAUGGAAUAAUAAAAUAGGACGGCAUGAUUCUAUUUUGUUGGUUUCUAGGAUCACCGUAAUGAUUAAUAGGGAUAGUUGGGGGCAUUAGUAUUCAAUUGUCAGAGGUGAAAUUCUUGGAUUUAUUGAAGACUAACUACUGCGAAAGCAUUUGCCAAGGAUGUUUUCAUUAAUCAAGAACGAAAGUUAGGGGAUCGAAGACGAUCAGAUACCGUCGUAGUCUUAACCAUAAACUAUGCCGACUAGGAAUCAGACGAUGUUAAUUUUUUAAUGACUCGUUUGG
rnacentral:rRNA from 1 species